GUAACCUGCCCUUGACUCUGGGAAAACCCGGGAAACUGGGUCUAAUACUGGAUGCUACAUGUCACCGCAUGGUGGUGUGGGGAAAGGGUUUACUGGUCUUGGAUGGGCUCACGGCCUAUCAGCUUGUUGGUGAGGGAAUGGCUCACCAAGGGGACGACGGGUAGCCGGCCUGAUAGGGUGACCGGCCCCACUGGGACUGAAACACGGCCCAACUCCUACGGGAGGCAGCAGUGGGGAAUAUUGCACAAUGGGCGAAAGCCUGAUGCACGACGCCGGGUGAGGGAUGACGGCCUUCCGGUUGUAAACCUCUUUCAGCAGGGAAAAAGCCACAACUGACGGUACCUGCAGAAGAAGCGCCGGCUACCUACGUGCCACCCCCCGCGGUAAUACGUAGGGCGCAAGCGUUGUCCGGAAUUAUUGGGCGUAAAUAGCACGUAGGGGGUGUGUCACGUCUGCUGGGAAAGCCCGGGGCUUAACCCCGGGUGCGCAGUGGGUAC
rnacentral:rRNA from 1 species